GAGAGAGAGAGAGAGAGAGAGAGAGAGAGAGAUUAAAUGACAGCCUGGUGUUAAAACUCAACAUCUGGUAGUGCUUAGCAGCACACAGAGAAGCAGGGAAAGGAGGGAGAAGUUAAAGAGACGGCGAGCAGCGGAGGAGGAGGAGACACCCAGAGCAGAAGAGACGGAGAUGUGGAUUUGCGAAAACGCUCUGCAGACGAAAGCCCACGUCUGGCCCGGCAGCCCGGAAAGUUGCGGUCGACGGUCGCAGGACAUCAGGGAGCAAGUUGACACUGCCUGAGGACUGGUUCUAGAUCUGAAUGGAAGAUUUAUGCAGACCCGCUCCAAACCAGUGGUCUCCAAAAAAUAAAAAAAUUAAAUUAAUUAAAAAAAAAAGAACUCUGGCUUCAGAACUAGAAUUGUUUUAAAGAUGAAUCUCUAAUAAGACUAAAAUAUUCCUGCAUAUGAAAGAACCCUGCAGCUGUUUAGUAAACUUCAUGUUAGGAGUUUAGUCCAAAGGAAAACAUUCUUUCUGCCUUUCAGACAAAUAAACCUCCAUGACCUUAAUUCAUGUUGUUUUAAAUAUCUUUAAAAGAUGUGUUUCUUUUAAUUUAUUUUUGUUAACACAUUGAUUGUUUCCUUAUAUUUACAUGAACAAUUUUCACUCUAAAUUUAUCCCUAAACAAUAAGUUGUUUGUUUCUUCGCCUGAGUUUUGGUGUUACUCUGUGUUAGAAAACGAUCAGAAGAUAUAAACGCUAAAUGUUAAAUACAAAUCUGAAAUUCACUGUAAAAUAAAUAAAAAGUUGUUGACAAAGA